CUGAGUUUCUGUAAGUAGUGUCGGAAAAACUGUUUUCCCAAAUGAGCGAAGAUGGAGCAAUGGGACUUUUGGGGGUGGGCUUCACAAGUUACCUGCUAAUCAUUGAUCUCCAUGUAGGUCUAACCUGGGCAGUGAGACAUGGCCGUUCGCGGGCACUACUGCAGAAGACCUGGCAUUCUGCCUCCUUGUGGAGUCAGACUUUGGCCCACUGCAGUGUUUGCCAUUGUGGGGGCAUCAGAUGCUGAUGGGCGGAAUGAAUGUGGAGGAAGUUGGCUUCACUAAGGCAGGGAAUGAAUGGCCACCACUGCUUUUGUGCCAAAGGACUGAGCCUCCCUGGGAGAGUGGACAAGAACAGGCUGGAGGAGGGGUGCCCUUCAUCAUCUUGUGAGCAUCUGGGCCAAGUUCAGGGCUGGUGCUCUCUUUCCGAUAGAUUCAGCUGGUGGCACAGAGAUCUGUGAGCUUGCUUUUGCGGGACUUUAAUGAUAUAUACAAGCAGCACGAGGUGCUCCUGACUGUGGAUUAAUUUGGAGAUGACUUUCUCUGUUGAAGAGUGGCAAGACUCUUGCAAGUUCUUAAAAAUACACUUGUUUGGUAUGAGAAUAAAAAGGAGUGGCUGAAGAACCGGUCUUCUAUGGGCAAGGCUUCUCUGAUGGACAUUUACAUGGCUUUCAUUUAUCUUCCAUUACAAGAAUAUUUUGUACAUGCGUGUGAGUUUUUCUAUAAGAAACACUUCCAGCUUUUCAUUUAAGUCAGAGACUCAAACCUGAAAUGCAAAAGCUUGUAAAACUGUGAGGUGUUAUCAUCCCACCAAAGGAAUGAACCUCACAGUUCACCUCCGCAGAGCCAGCCAAAGUCACCAACGUCCUCUGUAUCCUUCCAGAGAAAGUUCAGGCAUAAGCAAAAAAAAAAAGUCUUUCUCUUUCUCAUUUUCCCUUCAAAACCCACCAAUAAUUGUACAUGAUAUACAUAGCCUGCCCCUUUUUCUUGUUAAAUAAUGGGAGAUUAUGCCAUUAUGAAGAAAAAGAGUCCUCCAUUCCCUUUGUCUGGCAUUCCAUUAUGUGAAUGAGCUGUUACUUAUUUAGCCAGUCCCCACCUGAAGGACACUUGGUUGGUUCCAAUCUUUACUAUGACAACAGUGCCACAAGGGGAACCAGUGAAUGCAUCUGUCUGUUUUGAUCCACCAUGAUAACAGUAAUAGAAAAACUAAGUAAGGACAUCUUACUGAGUUGCAAACAUACUGGAUUUGUAAUGACUUCAGACCAGGAUAUUCACGUGCAAAUAGCCAAGCACCACGGCCCUCUCUUAUGAGUCACAGUGCCACCGAUAGUGGCAUCUUAAUUGGGAUGCGGUCUCACUAUGUUGCCCAGGCAAGU